UACGUAGGGAGCGAGCGUUGUCCGGAUUCAUUGGGCGUAAAGAGCUCGUAGGCGGUUCGGUAAGUCGGGUGUGAAAUCUCCGUGCUCAACACGGAGCGGCCACCUGAUACUGCCGUGACUCGAGUCCGGUAGGGGAGUGUGGAAUUCCCGGUGUAGCGGUGAAAUGCGCAGAUAUCAGGAGGAACACCGGUGGCGAAGGCGGGACUCUGGGCCGAUACUGACGCUGAGGAGCGAAAGCGUGGGGAGCAAACAGG
rnacentral:rRNA from 1 species